CAGGCUCUGGGGAGACGCCAAUGAACCAAAGUGGAAUCACAAACAACAAACACAAGGCCAGUCCCCGCCCUCGGGGGGCUGGCUGGCUCGGGGGCCCAGAGUUCACUCUGAGACAUGGACUUCUCUCACACACCUUGGGAGGCGGCUUCAGGCCAAAUGAGGAGUUCUCCCGCUAGAACCUUGACAAUCAGGGGAUGCCUCACAUGAAUCCGUUCUCUGUGGCAGUGGAUUCUGGGGCCACAGCUGGUUCUCAGGGUUUUAAAUCCAGGCCCCACUGGCAGUUAGGGCGGCCAGCAUUCCUUCCAUCCCCUGCUCAAACUCCCAGGAGGACCAGUGGCAGAGCCAGCCCUCGAGGGACCUGCGGCUGGAUGCGAGGCGAGAUGACCCCAGGGGGCGCGUCAGAGACCCGCACAAACAGAACAUCCCUCCCCAGCUUGGGCGUGCCAGGAGAGGGGCCAGGAGCCCAGGGCCACGAGCCUCCUUCGCUGACCCAGCUGGCACUCUGUGUGGUCACCUGCCCCUCCCCCGCGUCCGGGUGCGGACUACAGCCUGGCUUUGUCCUCUUUGUCCUUCAGUUGCUUGUCUGCCACAAAGAGAUUAUCACGUCUGCCCUGCCCGUGACUGCUGGGCCACCUGACCAGGACAUCUUAGCAUUUCUCAGCUCUUUCGUCCGUCCUCUGCUGUUGGGUGUCAGAGCGCCCUGGACCGGUUGUGUGGUCACUGGUUGCUCCUGCAGCCCGUCCUUCAUCAGUGCCUUCCCUGCCGUGUCAGGCU
ensembl:lncRNA